rnacentral:rRNA from 1 species
AUUGAACGCUGGCGGCAGGCUUAACACAUGCAAGUCGAGCGGAGAUGAGGUGCUUGCACCUUAUCUUAGCGGCGGACGGGUGAGUAAUGCUUAGGAAUCUGCCUAUUAGUGGGGGACAACAUUCCGAAAGGAAUGCUAAUACCGCAUACGUCCUACGGGAGAAAGCAGGGGAUCUUCGGACCUUGCGCUAAUAGAUGAGCCUAAGUCGGAUUAGCUAGUUGGUGGGGUAAAGGCCUACCAAGGCGACGAGCUGUAGCGGGUCUGAGAGGAUGAUCCGCCACACUGGGACUGAGACACGGCCCAGACUCCUACGGGAGGCAGCAGUGGGGAAUAUUGGACAAUGGGGGGAACCCUGAUCCAGCCAUGCCGCGUGUGUGAAGAAGGCCUUAUGGUUGUAAAGCACUUUAAGCGAGGAGGAGGCUACUGAGACUAAUGCUCUUGGAUAGUGGACGUUACUCGCAGAAUAAGCACCGGCUAACUCUGUGCCAGCCGCCGCCGUAAUAC